rnacentral:rRNA from 1 species
GACGGGGGAUGCAAGCGUUAUCCGGAAUCACUGGGCGUAAAACGUCUGUAGGUGGUGAUGCAAGUCACUGGUGCAAAACUCUGGCUCAACCGGAGGAAAGCCAGUGAAACUGCAUGACUAGAGUGUGGGAGAGGUAGAAGGAAUUCCCUGAGUAGCGGUGAAAUGCGUAGAUACAGGGAAGAAAACCGGAGGCGAAAGCGUUCUACUGGAACACAACUGUCACUGAGAGACGAAAGCUAGGGGAGCGAAUGGG